UGCUGGAAUCGCCCUUAGAGUUUGAUCCUGGCUCAGAACGAACGCUGGCGGCAGGCUUAACACAUGCAAGUCGAACGAACUCUUCGGAGUUAGUGGCAGACGGGUGAGUAACGCGUGGAAACCUACCUUUAGGUACGGAACAACAGUUGGAAACGAGUGCUAAUACCGUAUGUGCCCUAUGGGGGAAAGAUUUAUCGCCUAAGGAUGGGCCCGCGUUGGAUUAGCUAGUUGGUGGGGUAAAGGCCUACCAAGGCGACGAUCCAUAGCUGGUCUGAGAGGAUGAUCAGCCACACUGGGACUGAGACACGGCCCAGACUCCUACGGGAGGCAGCAGUGGGGAAUAUUGGACAAUGGGCGCAAGCCUGAUCCAGCCAUGCCGCGUGAGUGAUGAAGGCCCUAGGGUUGUAAAGCUCUUUCAGCGAGGAGGAUAAUGACGUUACUCGCAGAAGAAGCCCCGGCUAACUUCGUGCCAGCAGCCGCGGUAAUACGAAGGGGGCUAGCGUUGUUCGGAAUCACUGGGCGUAAAGCGCACGUAGGCGGACUUUUAAGUCAGGGGUGAAAUCCCGGGGCUCAACCCCGGAACUGCCUUUGAUACUGGAAGUCUUGAGUCCGAGAGAGGUGAGUGGAACUCCG
rnacentral:rRNA from 1 species